GUGGGGUAAUGGAUUUCAUGGUGGGAUGGGGGAGUAGGUCUGAGCCAAGGAUGACUUGCCGCCGCUCAAACCACAAUUCCAUGCUUUGCGUCCAUUGGGCUGGGAAGUUGUCCUUGGCUCUAGCUUCCUCCCUUGCCCAUUUUCCAUGUAAGACUUUACUAUCCAC
rnacentral:pre_miRNA from 1 species